rnacentral:pre_miRNA from 1 species
GCAAGGUGCAUCUACAACCUUGAAGGAACUCAUGUCCCUGCUUCUGAGAUUCGAACCCACGUCACCCAGUGCUACAGUCCUACAGAAGGUUAAUCUCCAGUCUGAAUAGGUCAGUGGUAACGUCUGUAACUGCAGCACUGGGUGACGCGGGUUAGAAUCUCAGAAGCAGGGACAUGAGUUACUUCAAGGUUGUAGAUACUCCUUGC